AGUGCUCCGCCAACUGCGCGCCUGAACACUUAAUCAUUAUAAGAACAGGAUACGAAUUCGGGCGCGCGCUGGAAGGAAUGAGAAAGAAAGAGAAGGAAUCACGAGACAAGAAAGAAAUAAAAGCUUCGGCGAAAAGAAGACGGUGAGGCUCCACUCAACGAGGGAUUACACAAUCCCCGCCUCAACCUAACCUUUCUCCCCCAC
rnacentral:misc_RNA from 1 species